AAAUUUCAUCAAAUACCCCUAAAUAAAUCCCGUGUGCGACGCCGUCGAUCGACUUAAGAACGAUAUCUCUCUGCUCACGCGCGAAAACCUCGGCGGUCGAUUUUGUCGAUCCGAAUCGGAACUUCAGUUUUGGUCAGACUCAGAGCGAACACGCUGUGUUUUUUUUUUUUUAAGUGGCGGAUUUGGACGAGAUUUUGAGUAAAAUGGAGCAGAUAUAUCACUAAAAUCAAGGAACAUUAAGACAAUUUUUUUUGGAAUAGCGAUGAUAUCAAAACUCAAUUUAUCUUUGGUUUUUUUUUCACAUAAAAGAAGUUUAAGGCCAGCGUGUUUCGUCUUUCCAAAUUCCGCCACUUAGUCACUUAGUUACGUCGUCACAUAGCAAUUUAGUAACUUAGUCACUUUGCAUUCCUUUGCAUAAUUUAUGUCACUUGAAGUAUGUAACAGUAACUGUUAGCAACUUUGCCAUGGUUUACCCAUAGAGCUCGCUGUUUUGUUGGAGAAAACCAGUACCUGAUUUCACAACAUUUAGGAUUUUUCAGUAGGACUUGCCCACCACAGCAUCCAACCAGUUUAUCGUGCCAAAAGGACUCCCCUAUGGACUUCAAUUUGCAUUCUUAAAUAGGAACUGUGGUGAAAGAUAAGUUUGUUUACUUUUAUUAUUUAUAUAUUUUGGGUAAUCUAUAUUUUCUCCAGUGUAAACUGUUUGUAUGCAUACAAAUCGAGUGGAACUAGGUACUUAUUUUCGUGAUAGAUAGGGUUUUCAGGUCUUUGUUUUGUUCCAUAUUAUAAAUAGUAGUUUUUCCAAUUAAAUAAGUCUUGUUUAAUAAUAAUCAUAAAUAAUUGUAGCUUAAAAUUUGAUAGGGAAUCGGGGGUAAAAUUUUGUCAAGGUUUUUUUUUUAAAUAGGGAAUAUGUCUAGUGGGUUUUUACAUUGUAUAUUAAGAGUCUGACCAGCUCAUUUAUAUAAAUCAAUUAUAUAAUUAUUAUUAUUUUGCUAGAUGAGAUACUUAAUUUUUUUGGUAACCGUAGCGUUCUAGUCGUGUAUCUCACCUAGACGAGUUCAAUUUAGGGAAUAUUACUAACUUUUAGUUGUAAGAACUUUGUGCUAUUCACACGGACUUUUGCUUUGGAUUUUCUACUAAUACAUUUACUUAGCGCAGUGUGUAGUGGUUAAUUGUAAGUUAGUGGCUUUUUGGUCCUGUUUGACCGUUAAACCACCCACUACCACUGUUAUUGUGUUUUGAUUUAUAUAUUACAUUGUCAAUAUAUGUAUAAUAUAGUUAUUAUUGUUAAUAUAUUUGUUAUUAGAAA